CACAGCUGAAAUGCUUGUCUCUGCUUCCUGAUGUCUGAAUCUUACACUGGGAAGACUGCAGGCAACUCAAUGGCCCAGGGCUAGAAUCAUCUGAAACCUCAGGUUUAGCUUCAUGAUCAAAAUCACCUCAGGGCAUACUACAAUCAACCAAACAUCAGCCUUCAAGAGAUGCACCAUAUGACUACAUCCACAGAGCAUUUGAUGAAUUUCUGUCCAUAAAAACCCUCUGAGAGAAGUCAUGAAAACAAAUAAGUCUGUUGAGCUUUACAUAUGCCGGUCUUAGCCAAAUUUGUCUGACCACAAGAUCCUUUGAUCUCCCCAUAAAACAUUUUCUAUCACUGGGGGAGCUCAAGUCCUGUAGAGCUCACCAUGGGAUACACUGCUCCAUGACGACUGUGUCUCUGCCUCGUCUACUUCCAUUGCUCAUCCAGGAAUUGAGAAGACUUUAUCAUUUAAGCCAUGAGAUGGCUGAGGAAGAAAAAACCAGAUGCCUGUUUAAGUCACCUUUAGAUUUCCACUUCUUCUUCCACUGAAUUGUCCUUGAAAUUUCCUUUGGAAAUAAAUUCCAAGGUAAUAAAAGGCCUCAGUGCAAAAAAAAAAAAAAA
rnacentral:lncRNA from 1 species